GUUGGGUAGGGGAGCGUUCUGUAAGCCUGUGAAGGUGUACUGCGAGGUAUGCUGGAGGUAUCAGAAGUGCGAAUGCUGACAUAAGUAACGAUAAUGCGGGUGAAAAACCCGCACGCCGGAAGACCAAGGGUUCCUGUCCAACGUUAAUCGGGGCAGGGUGAGUCGACCCCUAAGGCGAGGCAGAAAUGCGUAGUCGAUGGGAAACGGGUUAAUAUUCCCGUACUGGUGAUAAUUGCGAUGGGGGGACGGAGAAGGCUAGGCUAUCCGGGCGACGGUUGUCCCGGUUUAAGGAUGUAGGCAGGUGAAUUAGGCAAAUCCGGUUCACUAUAUGCUGAGGUCCGACGACGAGUCACUACGGUGAUGAAGUAGCUCAUGCCCCGCUUCCAGGAAAAGCCUCUAAGCUCUAGAUUAUCAUUAAUCGUACCCCAAACCGACACAGGUGGUCAGGUAGAGAAUACUCAGGCGCUUGAGAGAACUCGGGUGAAGGAACUAGGCAAAAUGGUGCCGUAACUUCGGGAGAAGGCACGCUGGCGCUAGGUGAAGUCCCUCGCGGAUGGAGCUGAAGCCAGUCGCAGAUACCAGCUGGCUGCAACUGUUUAUUAAAAACACAGCACUGUGCAAACACGAAAGUGGACGUAUACGGUGUGACGCCUGCCCGGUGCUGGAAGGUUAAUUGAUGGGGUUAUCCGUAAGGAGAAGCUCUUGAUCGAAGCCCCAGUAAACGGCGGCCGUAACUAUAACGGUCCUAAGGUAGCGAAAUUCCUUGUCGGGUAAGUUCCGACCUGCACGAAUGGCGUAAUGAUGGCCAGGCUGUCUCCACCCGAGACUCAGUGAAAUUGAACUCGCUGUGAAGAUGCAGUGUACCCGCGGCAAGACGGAAAGACCCCGUGAACCUUUACUAUAGCUUGACACUGAACAUUGAGCCUUGAUGUGUAGGAUAGGUGGGAGGCUUUGAAGUGUGGACGCCAGUCUGCAUGGAGCCAACCUUGAAAUACCACCCUUUAAUGUUUGAUGUUCUAACGUAGCCCCGUUAUCCGGGGUGCGGACAGUGUCUGGUGGGUAGUUUGACUGGGGCGGUCUCCUCCCAAAGAGUAACGGAGGAGCACGAAGGUUGGCUAAGCAUGGUCGGACAUCAUGCGGUUAGUGCAAAGGCAUAAGCCAGCUUGACUGCGAGAGUGACGGCUCGAGCAGGUACGAAAGUAGGUCUUAGUGAUCCGGUGGUUCUGAAUGGAAGGGCCAUCGCUCAACGGAUAAAAGGUACUCCGGGGAUAACAGGCUGAUACCGCCCAAGAGUUCAUAUCGACGGCGGUGUUUGGCACCUCGAUGUCGGCUCAUCACAUCCUGGGGCUGAAGUAGGUCCCAAGGGUACGGCUGUUCGCCGUUUAAAGUGGUACGCGAGCUGGGUUUAGAACGUCGUGAGACAGUUCGGUCCCUAUCUGCCGUGGGCGUUGGAAGAUUGAAAGGGGCUGCUCCUAGUACGAGAGGACCGGAGUGGACGCACCACUGGUGUUCGGGUUGUCAUGCCAAUGGCAUUGCCCGGUAGCUAAGUGCGGAAGAGAUAACCGCUGAAAGCAUCUAAGCGGGAAACUUGCCUUGAGAUGAGUCUUCCCUGACCCUUAAAGGGUCCUAAAGGAACGUUUAAGACUAAGACGUUGAUAGGUUGGGUGUGUAAGCGUAGCGAUACGUUGAGCUAACCAAUACUAAUGAACCGUGAGGCUUAACCUG
rnacentral:rRNA from 1 species